rnacentral:rRNA from 1 species
GAUGAACGCUGGCGGCGUGCCUAAUACAUGCAAGUCGAGCGAACAGACGAGGAGCUUGCUCCUCUGACUUUAGCGGCGGACGGGUGAGUAACACGUGGAUAACCUACCUAUAAGACUGGGAUAACUUCGGGAAACCGGAGCUAAUACCGGAUAAUAUAUUGAACCGCAUGGUUCAAUAGUGAAAGACGGUUUUGCUGUCACUUAUAGAUGGAUCCGCGCCGCAUUAGCUAGUUGGUAAGGUAACGGCUUACCAAGGCAACGAUGCGUAGCCGACCUGAGAGGGUGAUCGGCCACACUGGAACUGAGACACGGUCCAGACUCCUACGGGAGGCAGCAGUAGGGAAUCGUCCGCAAUGGGCGAAAGCUUGACGGAGCAACGCCGCGUGAGUGAUGAAGGUCUUCGGAUCGUAAAACUCUGUUAUUAGGGAAGAACAAAUGUGUAAGUAACUAUGCACGUCUUGACGGUACCUAAUCAGAAAGCCACGGCUAACUACGUG